UACAGAGGUCUCAAGCGUUGUUCGGAUUCAUUGGGCGUAAAGGGUGCGUAGGUGGCGAUGUAAGUCGGGCGUGAAAUCCCGGGGCUCAACCCCGGAACUGCGUUCGAUACUGCUUUGCUUGAGGACUGGAGAGGAGACUGGAAUUCACGGUGUAGCAGUGAAAUGCGUAGAUAUCGUGAGGAACACCGGUGGCGAAGGCGGGUCUCUAGACAGUUCCUGACACUGAGGCACGAAGGCCAGGGGAGCAAAC
rnacentral:rRNA from 1 species